AUGAUAUAAUAAUAAUAUUAAUAAUAAUAUUAUAAUAAUAACAGUAAUAAUAUUUACAUUUUAAUGACCGUUUUCAAGUCGUUCCGACGUAUCGAUAAGACAAUGCAAAGAAGUGACAAUCCCAAAAGAUGGUUUUCGAACAAGCCGGAAACAAUUUUAUCGAUAAGAUAACAGCGCGGUAACUUUAGUUCUGCACUUUACCUCAAUUGAUUUAAAUAUCUUCCUUCGCAUUUUCGUCAAGCGCGAAGACGCAUUGGAGAUUAUAAUGUGUGUAUGUCGUGUUAUCGGAAACUAAGAGUUUUUUUAAUCCGGUUUUUUUUACAUCCUUCCUUUUAAUCUUCUUUCUGAUUGCAAAUGCGAUUGUAACAUUUAAACUUUUGUAACUCGUGCAAAAAAUUAAUAUAUUUCAAAUGACUCGCUUCCACUUUAUACAGUAGGUACAUUGAGUGAGCGAGAAGAAAAGGAUUAGAUCCACGCGAGCUGACAAUGAGUGCAGAUCAAAUCUGAUUCUCUAAUGAUCUAAAUUCUAAUCGAAUAUUCAGGUGAUUUUCUUGUCGAACGUGUUAUAUUCUUACGUUGCCGCUUUGGUUCUUCUCCGCGAACACACAACACACCGCGAAGUAGAAGCUUCAGCUCACUGUUUCCGAACUGAUCUUAAAUCGGUCUUUAAUGCGGAUUGCUCGACUUUUCGACACGCCACAAUGUUUUUCAUCCUUUCUCGAUAAGACGGUUUCCCUCGUGAGAUUGCACGCGUUACACGACAACGUGUCACUUAAUCAAAAUGUUAUACGUAUUAUUAUACAUACUAGUAAGCAAUUUGCCGGACGGGAGCGGACGCGCUUGUACCACACAUCGACUGAUUAGAAUUUCGUUCGACUGUCCAUGCGAGCGCAAGCGAGAACUCUUUCCCAGCUUUACGUUGCAUUUACCGGAUGCUGGAUGACGGUUUCCGUAUCUCGUGACUGUGCAUUGGGAGAGACAGUGGUGCGUUAAGUGCGCGAGAACAAAUGUUUAUACUAUAUAUAAUAAAUAUAUGCGCUACGAGAGAAGAGAUAGAGAGAGCGAGAGAGAGAGAGAGAGAGAGAAAAAAAAGAGGCGGUAAAGUAUUGGGACACACGUGCGAUAGUCGGGAAUAUUUAAUUACGUGACGUUAUUAUUAUACUAUUUUCAUAUGCCGGAUAAAUCAAAACGGAGAGAUCCGCUCGUCCAGUGGUGUUAUUCCGUGACUUUAUCAAUCGAAAUUACAUAAUCAACAUCAGCGGCGGCGGUACAUUGACGUACGUGUGUCGCAAUAUUACGUGUAUCGCUCUCGUGCGCGUUUCUCGGUAUACGGUAAAUGAUUAAACAAAUGGGAAUCACUAGUAGGUGGUGUGUGCGUGUGUAUGUGUGUGUGUAUAGAGGACCACGGGUUCCUUAAUUUUACAAUUCUUGAGAGAGAGAGAGAGAGAGAAACAGAAAAAGAGAGAAGACAUGAAUGCUCGUCAAAGAAUAAUUAGUAAUAACAAACGAUAAUUCACAUUGCGUAUCUCUCGUUGCGCGCCUAGUAGACUGCAAGUAGUAGUCAUUCGAAAGUCCGUACGUCGUGUUUUGGGGACACGAGCAGGAAGUGUAUAGUGUUUAAUUGCAAGAAGUCCAUGUAUCGACGGGAGCUUUUGCAUCGCUUUCCGGACAAUUACUUUUGUGAUUUAUUCGUAAUCGAAGGAGCAUUCAAGAAAAGCGGUGCGAAGGUCGGUCGCGUUGUACUCAGAUAUACUCCGCAUACCUUGUUAUUCAGCAGCAGUUGAACAGAUGAAUAUGAUUUAUUGCAGAGAGCCGUAAUACCACAAGUGAAACCGUUCUAAGUAUAUUUGUUAUACACACAUAUUGUUACCAUUGCCACAUGAAAGCAAUUAUUAACUCCAUAGCCUGGGCCAUUGUUAGACGAACGAGAACUCGGGACUGUUUCUUGAAGUAGGAUUGCAACCAGGAUUACUUUUUUAAUAUCACCGUAAAGUUCGCGUUUAAGACUAUUGCACUUUUUAUAAAAUGUAAUAACUAUUGUUUGGAGGAUAAUUAAAAGAGAUUCAAGGAUCUCUGAGACACUGGAAAUAAACAGUUCUUUCUCGCCAAUUUUAAUAAUCAGAAUUUUAACUUUAACGUUAUUCUUUCCACAUAACGUGCCAUGUUUUAAUUUUCUUGAUUAUCGAGAAUAAUUUCCGGGGUGAUUUUGGAAUAAUUUCACUUUUCCACAAUCCUGUUCCAUAUCUAUAUCUCUUCUAUUGUUCUUUUUUUUUGUAUGGCGCACGCAAUCCUACGUCGAGGAAGAAAAAAGUUAUAAGAAAGUGUGAGACAAGUUAUCGUAAUAGUCGCCGAUUACUCCGUAACAAUGGCAAUGCCCAUACGUAUGAAGUCUGUAAUCGAAAUGCUUUAUAUUUUUACACCGAACAAAGCAGUAUAUAACGUACAAUAAAACAAUAAAACAUGUCCUUCCAUACAUGCAACCUCAAGAUGACAAAUGUUAAAUUUUUAUUUUUACAACAGCCCACUAUCACUUCCGAUAUCUGAGCUAUAUUUGGGCGUAUAAUUAUAGUUGAGACUAUUAAUUAGGAUAUUAAAGUCGGCUAGAUUCAUUUUAAUCGACUCACAAUUUUACGAUUUCUACACGAAUGAUCGUCUACUGUAAUAUACGCAUUAUACGAUACGUAUACAACAUAUGUUAGUGAUAUUAUACCGUGCGACGACGCGUUUUAUGAUCGUUAAUAAUCCGCAAGAAAAAAAAGGAAGGUCUCGAAACUGUUAAUUUCUUCUCCGAAAUUGUGAAAACGAGCUGGCAUGUCCAAACAAAUAGUUAGCGUUCCAUUUCGUCCGUUGUCGCAGCGUCCGAUUGUACAUUGACGCCAAUUAAUUCCGGCUAUCCGCAUUUUAUGCCGUUUCGAAGCGAAGAAAUCAAAAGAAUGGGAGAAGAAGCAGAUAGUACCAAAAGCGAAUUGCAAACGCCGAUGCGUUUAACUUUACAACCGGCACACAUAUUGUACAUAUGUAUUUAUUAAAACUGAUAGAUAUACGAAUUCUCACACACUGCAGACAAACAAACACACGUAUACACUUACGCAAAGGUUUCCACCGUGCCGAAUACUGUGUGUAUUAAAUAUUUUUCUCUCCGACAUUAUCUUCUGGGCUAUUCGUAUGCGGGGAAAAAAAAAGAAGAACAUUGACGUGAUUCCGCGAGUACGCGACAGCCUUCGAUGUUAUUGUUCCGUGUAAUGGAUUUCGGAUAGAGUCGCGAAUCGUUUCUCCGAGUAAUCUCUGAAUAGAGAUCGCGAGUUCGACGUGAACAAACGGGAACCACGUGGACGGAACACGAUCGUGAUAGUCGCGCGACUUUAUACGCGCGCAUGUUCGAACAGAUCCUCGCGAAAUUCAAUCAAGCGUGCAAAAUCGAAAGUCGCCUGUCUAAUUUCUGUCGAUGAAACCAAUAAUCCCGGCAAAUCUGCCGAGAGACAAAAGUUAACCAGUAUCAGGUCGUUACGUGGCAAACAUUUGCGUAUAUACAUGUCGUUCCAUCAGCAACGUCAUCAUUGUUAUCAUCUGAUCGACCGACUUACAGUGUGCCGUCGAGGUUUCUCAUCGACGGCACACUGUACGGUUUUUUAUUAUAGUCGCCGUCAAAUUUAAUUUUAACAUUAUUAUUUUUCUGUACAGGUUGUGUCGGAAGUCCCGCGAUCUCUUUACGAAACUCCCCGAAUCUGAAUAUAAAGUUUUAUAAAAUUAUAUUGAAAAAUUUUAUUGACGUUAUGAAUUAAGAAGUUUUUCGGACCAAUAUAAGUAAAUUAUAACAUCUUAUGCUUCACGAUUAUAGUGAAUUGCGUUUUAUCGGUAUAAUCUCAGGCAAUCUGAAGCACGUCUACAGAUUGAGAACAUAAAAGGUUCCGGUCAAUUGAUAGAAAAUCUUGGAAGAGAAAUGCGCGCGACUUUUGAUACGGCCUUAGACAUAUGUGUUUAACAUUGUAAGGCAAACACACGAACAAAUCAAAUAAAAUCUACAUUUCGUUUUUUUUUUUCUUAGAGCGCCUCUAAUAAUAAAAAGACAGCCGUACUUACUUGUACGCGAAAGUAUACGUAUCCGAAAGAAGGGAACUUUGGUAUCCUCGAUUCGCCAAAUCGCGACGGAAUUUUCUUCAAGCGCGGAGCGGGACGUCGCCAAAUUGGGACAUUGCCUUUUGAUAAGAAUGGGAGGAUUCGAUAUCGAAUCUACGAAACGCGGAAGAACGUGAAGGGAAACAGGGCUAAUAUGUGACGCGUCGAGUCGAGCCUGAAAUUAAUAAUCAAAAUUGAACGACUGUUUGCGAAACACUUGUGAUUAACUAUUUUAUAAAACCGACCCACGGUACGUCCUUAGGUAUAUUAUGUAACAAAAUGUAGAAAAAAAAAGAGAAAUAAAUCGAGGAAAAUUCCCUUGUGAGAGAGCACGAAUAUAAAAUAAAAAACUUUUUGAAUAUUAUCAUCUGUUUUCAUCACACUCUCAUCUGAAUAAU